CAAAAGAGGUGUAGACUGGAAGAAGGUCUCUUGGACCCAGAAGCAAUAUUUAAGUGAGGGACAUUUGCAAAUCCUACGUUUAUAGCCCAGAGCUUCUACCAAGGCCUUGCAUUAUAGCUGGAGUGUUUGGAGCCCUGUUUUUAAAUGGAUUGCAACCAUCGAUGGGUCAUAAAAAUCAAUAUACUGAAUGAUGUUGUACAUUUUGACAGUGCUUUGGAUUACACUGGAGCAAAAUCUGUCAAAUCUCAGUGACUACAAACUUAAGAUUUCUAUAUUUCAUUUUAGGUAAAGAAAUUGAAUUCUAGUUAGUUAUGCAUGCUGAAGUAUUUAGAGGACCCGGAUUGAGAACUCCUGGCUGACAGCUCUGGUCCAGAAAUGUUGCGUUUUCAUAAGGACCACUGACCCCCGAAAAGGACCGACACUUCCUGCCUCCCCCACCUCUCCAGGGCUGAGGGACGACCACCAGGAAACAGGUGGCGGAGUGCUCUGAAAACCAAACCGCACCAGAUGCACCUGAGAAUUCCUGUUACUAUUACUGAGCCUUGGACAAGCUCGGAAGACCCAGAUGGGUGACAGGAAUUAAGAGUAUAAGAUCUCAAAUUGCCCAAGCCCAGCUGGGAGGCCUAACACUGACCUCAGGUAAGACCGCUAAGACCUUGAGACAAUGUGGACAAUCUGAGCCUCCCCCAAGUUAAAACAUGCAAAUGCUUCUGCCUUGGGCUCCAUGAACUGUUUCUCCCGUGUAGAAUUGUCACUGCGAUCACUGCGGCAGGCACUAUUCCUAUCCAAGCCUCCCGAUUGGGAAGAGCCCCUUUACGAACGUGGUUUCUGGCCCUGACGUUGACU